AUAGAAUCUAUUAUUGAUAUCUUAAAUCAAACUAACAAACUCAUUUUGAUUAAAUUAUAUUUGAAACUCUAUCAUGCAGCAUGUUAGAAUACAAUAUAUAAAUUUAGAUUUAACAAUAAUAAUAUUAAUUUUGUUCUAACACAGGCACACAUAUAAUUAUAUACAAUCAAUAUUUUUAACAAUCCAUUUAUAAUAGCAUGAGUGAUGUGAAAUUAUAUAUACAGUCAUGAACAUUGUAAGCAAGUUUGCAUAGAACCAUAGAUAUAGAGGACCUAGAGAAACUAAAUGAAAUUGUGGGCGUGGCUAUGCUAAGUCUAAGAUUGCGCAUGCUCAGUAGAUCUAGAUCUGUGAAACCAUGUGCUCCAAAAAAAGAGAAGACACCCUUACUAUAAUUAUGCUGGACAUUUGCUGCUAUAAAUCUGACUGUGAUGAUACUUCUGUGAGAGGUAUGACUGUGACUCGACUACACCAAGUGGAUGAUGAUACUUCUAGUUCUGUAAGAGGUAUGACUGUGACUACACCAAGUGGAUGAUGAUACUUCUGUGAGAGAAAUUCCUUAAACUGGCAAGCUUGACAUGCGAGAACAAACGAAACAAACAGACGAAUGGAUAGAAGUGGCGUCAUUGUUGGAUAUCCUCUCGGUGGACUCUGCAUGGUCAAGAGUGAUCGGUCUGCUAUACUUGUGAGUCCAGUAUGUUACACCAAGGAGAAUUACUAUUAUUAAUUUAAAACUGUCCUUCUAAUUUAACAUUGUAUACCAUUGUCUCACUCAGUUGUCACGAACGUUUCCUAUCACUAUUUUUGUAUUAACAUGUUAUUUAUUGAAUUGAAUAAUAAUUGUUAUACCGA